GUCAGCGGUCUCUAGAUAAGGGUUAAUAACAUACCCAGGUUGGUGUCAGCGGUCUCUAGAUAAGGGUUAAUCAGGUUUAAUAACAUACCCAGGUUGGUGUCAGCGGUCUCUAGAUAAGGGUUAAUCAGGUUUAAUAACAUACCCAGGUUGGUGUCAGUGGUCUCUAGAUAAGGUUUAAUAACAUACCCAGGUUGGUGUCAGUGGUCUCUAGAUAAGGUUUAAUAACAUACCCAGGUUGGUGUCAGUGGUCUCUAGAUAAGGUUUAAUAACAUACCCAGGUUGGUGUCAGCGGUCUCUAGAUAAGGUUUAAUAACAUACCCAGGUUGGUGUCAGCGGUCUCUAGAUAAGGGUUAAUCAGGUUUAAUAACAUACCCAGGUUGGUGUCAGCGGUCUCUAGAUAAGGUUUAAUAACAUACCCAGGUUGGUGUCAGCAGUCUCUAGAUAAGGUUUAAUAACAUACCCAGGUUGGUGUCAGUGGUCUCUAGAUAAGGUUUAAUAACAUACCCAGGUUGGUGUCAGCGGUCUCUAGAUAAGGUUUAAUCAGGUUUAAUAACAUACCCAGGUUGGUGUCAGCGGUCUCUAGAUAAGGGUUAAUCAGGUUUAAUAACAUACCCAGGUUGGUGUCAGUGGUCUCUAGAUAAGGGUUAAUCAGG